AAUGGCAUCCAAGUCAUUCAAAUAUGAUCGGCUAUGAAUUUUGGCUCCAUCUUUUCUUUCUCCCAUGGGUCAUCUUAUCCCCUUAUAAAUAGACCACAGACCUACUCUAACAGCAACAAAAGUUCCUGUCUUCUCUGCUUCAAAGUUCAAGCUCUUCUUUGAAGCCUCUUCUGGUUUGUACUAUCUGAUAUCAUCAUGACAAGUUAUAGCUCUUUAAUUCUACUUACAGUUUUCACAAUCAUUUUGGGUACACUCCAUCCCUGUACUUGCAGGCAUAUCAGCUGGGCUACUCAUCAAGAAACAGAUCAAACAUUAAACACAAAGCCCUCUUUUCCAUUUCCUCGGCAUCUGUCUGCUAUUUCUCACUCUGUGCAAUCCAGAGAUGACAAGGCCAGCACAGUAUAUGGUGUAUCGCAUAAACUUGUUCCAGGCGGACCAAAUCCACUUCACAAUUAAUGGAAUUUUCCAUUAUCCAGCUUGUUUCCGGGAAGAACUCACAGGUUUCUCUUGUAGCUUGGGG
rnacentral:misc_RNA from 1 species